GUGAUAGUGUUGUCAUAUCAGUGAAAGUCAGAGUUGUCAAUUAUCAGUGAUUCCAUUAUGAAUAAUUUUAGUAACGCUGAAAUGGCUGGCAUGCACUUCAUUUAUGGAUUAGCAAAUGGAAAUGCAGAAGAAGCAUGGAGGAUAACAAAGUGGAUAAUUACUCUUGGCUGAUUUCUCAUCAUGGUGCUGAAUUGAAUUGAAUGAUGCCAGUAUCGAGUUCAGCUACGACAAAUCAUUUUGCUUCCCGAUACAAGCAAAAACCUAGUGUUUUCACAUUAUAAUGCAAUUUAUUAUUUUGGUCACGUUCUGGAAUAAGUCAUUGCUCCCGGAUGGUUGAAUGAAAUGAAUCAUUUGAGACGUACUACUUGCAAAUAUUCGCUUUUUGACAAAGAGUGCACAGAAAAGUGAGUCUCUCAACCGGCCUUACUACUGAAAGAAUCGGAAAGUUUUUCUAAAUGUAGCACUGGAUUUGAAAUUAUCCCACCUGAAAAGUUCAUCCAGAUAUUUUUGUGGUUCACUGGACAUUAGGCUGUUGGAUUCCGAGAUGUUGCAGACAGGUUCAAUGUUACAAUAAGUAAACUGCAUAUUAUAGAAGGAGUAUCAUACUUCAUUUCUGGUUUGUCAGAAAAAUUUAUCAGGUGGCCUACUGAUGAAAAAAAAUUAGAAAUUACUGAACAUUUCAAAACCAUGGGGUUUCCACGUGCUAAGGAAGUCAUAGAUGGCAGCUUCAUCAAAAUUGAUACCCCCUCUGAAGAUCCUGUAUCUUAUUAUUCUAUUCAUGUAAGUGAGCAAGGAUGUUAAAAAUUUUUAGAACUUUUAGAAAGAUAUUUUCAUAUCGUGUCAACCUAAAAAUUCAAAGUAUUCCCAUUAGUUAUACAUAUCGGCAUGUAUUUCCGUAGAUUUCUAGAUAUUUCCUUUUUAUUUUCAAAUUUUCACAAAUUACGUUUAAACAUGUACCUAUAUUUUUUAUAUAUGAAAUUUUUGUUUUUGAAAUAUAACUUUCUGAAUAAACACAACUAUAUGGGCUGCAAAAAUAUAUUACCUGAGUAACAUUUGUGUGUGGCUAGAGAUCAUUUCAUUAUCUUUUGAAGUUAAAUUUUUUUGAAUAUUUGGUUAUGUGUAUGUACUUGGUUUCAUGUGUAAGAACUUCUUCAAUGAACAUUUCUUUGCAUGUGCAAGCUGUAUGUGACCAUGAAAAAAGAAUCAGAUACAUACUCAUUGGAUUUCCUGGAUUAGUACAGGAUUCAAGCAUCAUCUCUUGAAGAAAAAUGUGGUGAUAAUUACAUUUUAGGAGACAGUGCCUAUCCAUGCAAGACAUUUAUUAAUACCAUUUGAAUUCAGAAAAAAAUUAUGUGUAACUGAGGAAGAGUAUAACAGAAAAUUAAGAGGUAAUUGAACACACAUUUAGUAUACUCAAAUAAAGAUUCAGGAUGUUGUAUCAUGUCAAAUUGACAAAAAUUGAAAACAUUUGCCACCUAAUUAGAGCUUGCUGUGUUUUAUAUAAUCUAACUAUUGAUGAGGAUAUCAGUUUGUAUUAGACAAGUGAAGCUAUUGUAAGAGAUAAUUUAGUAGCAGAUGAAGAAGAUGAAGAAACUAAUGAAGGUCAGAACAAACCAGGCCAUGCUUUCUGAAACUACAUAGCUAGUAUUUUAAAUGUUUAGAUUAUUUUUAAUUUUUUCAUGUAAAUUAAGUGUAAUGUAGAUU